rnacentral:rRNA from 1 species
AGAGUUUGAUCCUGGCUCAGAACGAACGCUGGCGGCAGGCCUCAAACAUGCAAGUCUAGGGGGUGUAGCAAUACAUCACCGGCGGACGGGUGCGUAACACGUGGGAAUAUACCUUUUGGUUCGGAACAACGCAGGGGAAACUUGCGCUAAUACCGAAUGUGCCCUUACGGGGAAAGAUUUAUCGCCAAAGGAUUAGCCCGCGUCCGAUUAGCUAGUUGGUGAGGUAAUGGCUCACCAAGGCUCCGAUCGGUAGCUGUUCUGAGAGGAAGAUCAGCCACACUGGGACUGAGACACGGCCCAGACUCCUACGGGAGGCAGCAGUUGGGAAUCUUGGACAAUGGGGGAAACCCUGAUCCAGCCAUGCCGCGUGAGUGAUGAAGGCCUUCGGGUUGUAAAACUCUUUCGACGGGGACGAUAAUGACGGUACCCGUAGAAGAAGCUCCGGCUAACUUCGUGCCAGCAGCCGCGGUAAUACGAAGGGGGCUAGCGUUGUUCGGAAUUACUGGGCGUAAAGCGCGCGCAGGCGGUCUUCCAAGUCAGUGGUGAAAGCCCGGAGCUCAACUCCGGAACUGCCAUUGAAACUGUAAGACUUGAGGAUGAGAGAGGUGAGUGGAAUUCCCAGUGUAGAGGUGAAAUUCGUAGAUAUUGGGAAGAACACCGGUGGCGAAGGCGGCUCACUGGCUCAUAUCUGACGCUCAGGCGCGACAGCGUGGGGAUCAAACAGGAUUAGAUACCCUAGUAGUCC